rnacentral:rRNA from 1 species
UGUGCCUACGGGGGGCAGCAGUGAGGAAUAUUGGUCAAUGGGCUUACGCCUGAACCAGCCAAGUCGCGUGAGGGAAGACUGCCCUAUGGGUUGUAAACCUCUUUUGUCAGGGAGCAACGCCGGCUACGUGUAGCCGGACUGAGAGUACCUGAAGAAAAAGCAUCGGCUAACUCCGUGCCAGCAGCCGCGGUAAUACGUAGGGAGCGAGCGUUGUCCGGAUUUACUGGGUGUAAAGGGUGCGUAGGCGGCUUGGCAAGUCAGUAGUGAAAUCCAUGGGCUUAACCCAUGAACUGCUAUUGAACCUG